GGCAUAACUUGGAUUGUCAUAAUUCAUGCGAAUAAUUAGCGUUUAAAGUAAGAUUCUACAGCGAAUUAAGCAUAAUUUGAUUGAUCUGUUUACUUAUAAAAAUGUGAGAUCUCGUGUUCAUUUGUAUCUAUCUAUUAAAUAUUGAUAAAAUUAUUAGAUGGAGUGUGAUUAGAGGAUAGGUUAACCUAAUUAUAUAGGAUUGGCUUAUUGGCCUCUUAAACUAAAAAUAAAAAUAAAUAUAAAA
rnacentral:misc_RNA from 1 species